CAAAGGAAUUGACGGGGCCGGCACAAGCGGUGGAGCAUGUGGCUAAUUCGACGCAACGCGAAGAACUUACCAGGGCUUGACAUCCCCUGACCGCGUAUGAAAGUACGUUUUCACCUCGGGUGACAGGGAGACAGGUGGUGCAUGGUUGUCGUCAGCUCGUGUCGUGAGAUGUUGGGUUAAGUCCCGCAACGAGCGCAACCCCUACGUUUAGUUGCUAACGCGUGAAGGCGAGCACUCUAGACGAACUGCCGUUGACAAAACGGAGGAAGGUGGGAUGACGUCAAAUCAUCAUGCCCCUUAUGUUCUGGGCUACACACGUGCUACAAUGGCCGGUACAGACGGACGCAAAGCCGCGAGGUGGAGCAAAUCCUAAAAAGCCGGUCUCAGUUCGGAUUGCAGGCUGCAAUUCGCCUGCAUGAAGUCGGAAUCGCUAGUAAUCGCAGGUCAGCAUACUGCGGUGAAUACGUUCCCGGGCCUU
rnacentral:rRNA from 1 species